GAUGAACGCUAGCGGCAGGCUUAACACAUGCAAGUCGAGGGGCAACGCGAUGUAGCAAUACAUUGGCGGCGACCGGCGCACGGGUGCGUAACACGUAUGGAACUUACCCUUUACUGGGAGAUAGCCCGGAGAAAUCCGGAUUAAUAUCCCAUAAUAAACGAAGUGGCAUCACUUUGUUUUGAAAGCUCCGGCGGUAAAGGAUGGCCAUGCGCACGAUUAGCUAGUAGGUGAGGUAACGGCUCACCUAGGCUACGAUCGUUAGGGGGCCUGAGAGGGUUAUCCCCCACACUGGUACUGAGACACGGACCAGACUCCUACGGGAGGCAGCAGUGAGGAAUAUUGCGCAAUGGAGGCAACUCUGACGCAGCCACUGCCGCGUGCAGGAAGAAGGCGCUACGCGUUGUAAACUGCUUUUAACCGGGAAGAAACCCUCCGACGUGUCGGAGGUUGACGGUACCGGAGGAAUAAGCACCGGCUAACUUCGUGCCAGCAGCCGCGGU
rnacentral:rRNA from 1 species